rnacentral:rRNA from 1 species
GGGAUAACCCGGAGAAAUCCGGCCUAAUACCGCAUGUGGCCGAGGGGAGGCAUCUUCUUUCGGCCAAAGGAGGCAACUCCGGAGACGGAUGGGCAUGCGUGACAUUAGCUUGUUGGCGGGGUAACGGCCCACCAAGGCGACGAUGUCUAGGGGUUCUGAGAGGAAGGUCCCCCACACUGGUACUGAGACACGGACCAGACUCCUACGGGAGGCAGCAGUGAGGAAUAUUGGUCAAUGGGCGAGAGCCUGAACCAGCCAAGUCGCGUGAAGGAUGACGGCCCUACGGGUUGUAAACUUCUUUUGUCAGGGAGCAAUUGAGUCCACGUGUGGGCUUAGCGAGAGUACCUGAAGAAAAAGCAUCGGCUAACUCCGUGCCAGCAGCCGCGGUAAUACGGAGGAUGCGAGCGUUAUCCGGAUUUAUUGGGUUUAAAGGGUGCGUAGGCGGAAUAUCAAGUCAGCGGUAAAAAUUCGGGGCUCAACCCCGUCGUGCCGUUGAAACUGAUGUUCUUGAGUGGGCGAGAAGUAUGCGGAAUGCGUGGUGUAGCGGUGAAAUGCAUAGAUAUCACGCAGAACUCCGAUUGCGAAGGCAGCAUACCGGCGCCCAACUGACGCUGAAGCACGAAAGCGUGGGUAUCGAACAGGAUUAGAUACCCUGGUAGUCCACGCAGUAAACGAUGAAUG